rnacentral:rRNA from 1 species
UUGAACUGAAGAGUUUGAUCCUGGCUCAGAUUGAACGCUGGCGGCAUGCCUUACACAUGCAAGUCGAACGGCAGCACGGGUGCUUGCACCUGGUGGCGAGUGGCGAACGGGUGAGUAAUACAUCGGAACAUGUCCUGUAGUGGGGGAUAGCCCGGCGAAAGCCGGAUUAAUACCGCAUACGAUCCACGGAUGAAAGCGGGGGACC